rnacentral:ribozyme from 1 species
ACCAUGGAAUUGCCUUCGAUUGGGAUGGGAUAACUCUUCUGGAAAGAUAGCAUAGGCUCACCCAACCAACUCUUUCUCCAACAUGUCCACGUUGUUCAGAGUGGUAACAAGUCCCACCAAUUAUAAACAUUUGGACAGAUGGUGGCCCAUACCAAAAGAGAUAGAU